rnacentral:rRNA from 1 species
CCUGCCAGUAGUCAUAUGCUUGUCUCAAAGAUUAAGCCAUGCAUGUCUCAGUACAAGCCAAAUUAAGGUGAAACCGCGAAAGGCUCAUUAAAUCAGUUAUGGUUCCUUAGAUCGUACCCACAUUUACUUGGAUAACUGUGGUAAUUCUAGAGCUAAUACAUGCAAACAGAGCUCCGACCGGAGACGGAAGGAGUGCUUUUAUUAGAACAAAACCAAUCGGCGGCGUGUUCGCUUGCGUUCACGUUCGCCGCCCAACUUGGUGACUCUGAAUAACUUUAUGCUGAUCGCACGGUCUUGCACCGGCGACGCAUCUUUCAAAUGUCUGCCUUAUCAACUGUCGAUGGUAGGWUCUGCGCCUACCAUGGUUGUAACGGGUAACGGGGAAUCAGGGUUCGAUUCCGGAGAGGGAGCCUGAGAAACGGCUACCACAUCCAAGGAAGGCAGCAGGCGCGCAAAUUACCCACUCCCGGCACGGGGAGGUAGUGACGAAAAAUAACGAUACGGGACUCAUCCGAGGCCCCGUAAUCGGAAUGAGUACACUUUAAAUCCUUUAACGAGGAUCAAUUGGAGGGCAAGUCUGGUGCCAGCAGCC